rnacentral:rRNA from 1 species
UUGCCUACGGGGGGCAGCAGUGAGGAAUAUUGGUCAAUGGACGAGAGUCUGAACCAGCCAAGUAGCGUGAAGGAUGACUGCCCUAUGGGUUGUAAACUUCUUUUAUAUGGGAAUGAAGUGAGCCACGUGUGGCUUUUUGUAUGUACCAUACGAAUAAGGAUCGGCUAACUCCGUGCCAGCAGCCGCGGUAAUACGGAGGAUCCGAGCGUUAUCCGGAUUUAUUGGGUUUAAAGGGAGCGUAGAUGGGUUGUUAAGUCAGUUGUGAAAGUUUGCGGCUCAACCGUAAAAUUGCAAUUGAUACUGGC